AGUGAACGCUGGCGGUAGGCCUAACACAUGCAAGUCGAACGGCAGCACAGUAAGAGCUUGCUCUUACGGGUGGCGAGUGGCGGACGGGUGAGGAAUACAUCGGAAUCUACUUUUUCGUGGGGGAUAACGUAGGGAAACUUACGCUAAUACCGCAUACGACCUACGGGUGAAAGCAGGGGAUCUUCGGACCUUGCGCGAUUGAAUGAGCCGAUGUCGGAUUAGCUAGUUGGCGGGGUAAAGGCCCACCAAGGCGACGAUCCGUAGCUGGUCUGAGAGGAUGAUCAGCCACACUGGAACUGAGAAACGGUCCAGACUCCGACGGGAGGCAGCAGUGGGGAAUAUUGGACGAUGGGCGCAAGCCUGAUCCAGCCAUACCGCGUGGGUGAAGAAGGACUUCGGGUUGUAAAGCCCUGUUGUUGGGAAAGAAAAGCAGCAGGUUAAUACCCCGCUGUUAUGACGGUACCCAAAGAAUAAGCACCGGCUAACUUCGUG
rnacentral:rRNA from 1 species